UACCAGCCAUUCAUUCAGAAUUGGGCCAGUUACUUCAGCAGCUGAACGAGGAAUCUCUACGUCAGCUAUUAAGAUCAUGGGCAGAUGGUCUUCCUCAGCGUUCGAAUCAUACAUCAGACCUGAUUCUAAAACCAUUCUUGAAGCUCAGCAAGCUCUCCAGUAACAAAUCAAGAACCUUAGGAUUCACAACUGAUGCCGACGUGAUAACAACCUCCACCCUCCCCACCACCACCAGGAUGGUCCUGUCCUUACCUUCCAGGGGGGGUCAGCUGCGCCCCUGCCUUCGUCUUUAGGCAGGAAAUGCAGGUCCGCUACCCUCGGA